CGACCGCGCAGGUCGACCAGUUCCUCCGCGAGGCCCUCGAGAAGCCCCACGAAUGCCUCCAAGGAUCGUGAUUUGGUGGUCGAGCCUAUGUCAACCACUGGUUCCACUCAGCCGAGCAGGCCAGACAUAAGGCCCUUGUUCUGAACCUGCUUUUGUUGAUUGGUUUCCAUCAGGGGCGAGUUCCGCAAGGAGUUCAAGCAGAACCCCAAGAACAAGUCUGUCGCUGCUGUAGGCAAAGCAGCCGGUGGGAGGUGGAAGAGCUUGAGCGAGUCGAUCAUGGUGUACCAGCUUUGCAAGGGCGUUGCUUUUUGCCACAGACGUGGUGUCCGACACCAUGACCUUGAGCCACACAACCUGCAAAUUGGUGGAUGCGUUGGUAUCCUCUGGUUUGAUCCCAGCAAGAGGAAGUGUUCUCUUCUCUUUAUCAACCAAAGGCACUUUCUUCUCUCAUGGAUGGAUGGGACUCCAUCAAUUUAG